rnacentral:misc_RNA from 1 species
AUAUUUUGUUUGUGUUUUAUACAUUCAUUACAUUCAAGUUUGGGCCGGAGCCACGGUUCACAAUGUGUUGAAGGGUUCAAAUCAAAAAUGAUCCUUCCGCAGGUUCACCUACGGAAA